GACGAACGCUGGCGGCGUGCUUAACACAUGCAAGUCGAACGAUGAUGCUCCAGCUUGCUGGGGUUGAUUAGUGGCGAACGGGUGAGUAACACGUGAGUAACCUGCCCCCCUCUUUGGGAUAACCUCGGGAAAUCGGGGCUAAUACCGGAUAUUCUGAUUCUGCCGCAUGGUGGGGUUUGGAAAGAUUUAUCGGUGGGGGAUGGACUCGCGGCCUAUCAGUUUGUUGGUGGGGUAGUGGCCUACCAAGACUACGACGGGUAGCCGGCCUGAGAGGGCGACCGGCCACACUGGGGCUGAGAUACGGCCCAGACUCCUACGGGAGGCAGCAGUGGGGAAUAUUGCACAAUGGGCGAAAGCCUGAUGCAGCGACGCCGCGUGGAGGAUGAAGGCCUUCGGGUUGUAAACUCCUUUCAGUAGGGAAGAAGCGAAAGUGACGGUACCUGCAGAAGAAGCGCCGGCUAACUACGUGCCAGCAGCCGCGGUAAUACGUAGGGCGCAAGCGUUGUCCGGGAAUUAUUGGGCGUAAAGAGCUCGUAGGCGGUUGGUCGCGUCUGCUGUGAAAACCCCGAGGCUCAACUUCGGGCUUGCAGUGGGUACGGGCCAUCUAGAGUGCGGUAGGGAGAGACUGGGAAUUCCUGGUGUAGCGGUGGAAUGCGCAGAUAUCAGGAGGAAACACCGAUGGCGAAGGCAGGUCUCUGGGCCGCUACUGACGCUGAGGAGCGAAAGCAUGGGGAGCGAACAGGAUUAGAUACCCUGGUAGUCCAUGCCGUAAACGUUGGGCACUAGGUGUGGGGCUCAUUCCACGAGUUCCGUGCCGCAGCUAACGCAUUAAGUGCCCCGCCUGGGGAGUACGGCCGCAAGGCUAAAACUCAAAGGAAUUGACGGGGGCCCGCACAAGCAGCGGAGCAUGCGGAUUAAUUCGAUGCAACGCGAAGAACCUUACCAAGGCUUGACAUAUACAGGAAACAUGCAGAGAUGUGUGCCCCUUUUAGGUCUGUAUACAGGUGGUGCAUGGUUGUCGUCAGCUCGUGUCGUGAGAUGUUGGGUUAAGUCCCGCAACGAGCGCAACCCUCGUCCUAUGUUGCCAGCACGUUAUGGUGGGGACUCAUGGGAGACUGCCGGGGUCAACUCGGAGGAAGGUGGGGAUGACGUCAAAUCAUCAUGCCCCUUAUGUCUUGGGCUUCACGCAUGCUACAAUGGCCGGUACAAACCGUUGCGAUACCGUGAGGUGGAGCGAAUCGGAAAAAGUCGGUCUCAGUUCGGAUUGGGGUCUGCAACUCGACCCCAUGAAGUCGGAGUCGCUAGUAAUCGCAGAUCAGCAACGCUGCGGUGAAUACGUUCCCGGGCCUUGUACUCACCGCC
rnacentral:rRNA from 1 species